CUGGAACAAAGCUACGCUGCUGAGGGGCAGGACUGGGCAAACAUGUUUGUGCGUAAAAGAUGGUGAAAGGGACAKUGGUCUUGACGUUGUAAUCCACACCUGGACCGGCGCCAAUGAUGUCUGCAGACACCUGCGUCAGACUGAGAAAAACAAGAGUGAAAAGAACAGAAUCAACCCCUUCACCCCUCCUAUCUUUUUUUUCUACCCUCGCUCUCURCUCUGUUGGUGUUUGUCAACGCUCUGCAGGCCCACCCCUUCCCCCAAAUGUUCCUCGUUUGAAUGGGUCAUGUGACUUCCUUCCUGUUUUUCUGACCCUGAGGGUCAUUCUGCCUCAGGGUCAGCAUGUAGCACCACCCCCUCCACUUGACAAAACCCUUGUUUGUUUAUUAAAAAUGCCAUCUUGAAUUCUCA